rnacentral:rRNA from 1 species
CCUACGGGAGGCAGCAGUGAGGAAUAUUGGUCAAUGGGCGCGAGCCUGAACCAGCCAAGUAGCGUGAAGGAUGACUGCCCUACGGGUUGUAAACCUCUUUUGCCGGGGAGCAGAGGUCCGGACGUGUCCGGGCCAGGAGAGUACCCGGAAAAAAAGCAUCGGCUAACUCCGUGCCAGCAGCCGCGGUAAUACGGAGGAUGCGAGCGUUAUCCGGAUUUAUUGGGUUUAAAGGGUGCGUAGGCGGGCAUUUAACCCGGCGGUAAAAUGUCGGGGCUCAACCCCGGCCUGCCGUCGGAACUGGGUGCCUUGAGUGGGCGUGAAGUAUGCGGAAUGCGUGGUGUAGCGGUGAACUGCAUAGAUAUCACGCAGAAGCCCGAUUGCGAAGGCAGCAUACCGGCGCCCUACUGACGCGGAGGCACGAAAGUGCGGGUAUCGAACAGGAUUAGAUACCCUGGUAGUA